UAUGUUGUUGAAUGUUUUAUUAAUAUUUUGGCAAUUCAGAUUUGUAUUUGCUACAAUUUCUGAGUGUUUUAUGCAAAUAUAAAUGUAUAUUAAAAGAAUACUCCAAGCACUGUAAUCACUAUAAUGUACUGUAGUGCUUAUGGUGCCCCCUCACUGUUUUGCCUGGGGUCUACCAGCAUCAUUCCCUACCUCCUCUCUAUAGCCAAGAAUUCUGGAAGGACAUGCAUUGACAAAGGAGAUUAGCCAAAACAUUUGUACCUUAUGUCCUUAAUAUAAUCUUUUUGUAGCACUUGGUGA